AUGAUGUAGAAAUGCAUCACGGGUACAAAACCGACUCCUCUCGCGGCUACUCAGGUUCAUCGUACCCUACUCCUACUCCGCAUAUCUAAGCUUGGGUACACGGGGAAACCCAACCCCUUGAGAAGAUGGAUGAUGGCAAAUUUGACUGGG
rnacentral:ribozyme from 1 species